UCCAGCCGUAUAAAAGGAAGGAGAGGGUAAG
rnacentral:sRNA from 1 species